rnacentral:rRNA from 1 species
UACCAGCACCCCGAGUGGUCGGGACGUUUUAUUGGGCCUAAAGCAUCCGUAGCCGGUUCUACAAGUCUUCCGUUAAAUCCACCUGCUUAACAGAUGGGCUGCGGAAGAUACUAUAGAGCUAGGAGGCGGGAGAGGCAAGCGGUACUCGAUGGGUAGGGGUAAAAUCCGUUGAUCCAUUGAAGACCACCAGUGGCGAAGGCGGCUCACUGGUCCAUUACUGACGCUGAGGUGCGAAAGCGUGGGGAGCAAACAGG